rnacentral:tRNA from 1 species
GGUUCCAUAGUGUAGCGGUUAGCACGUCUGCUUUAUACGCAGAAGGUCCUGGGUUCAUGCUCCAGUGGAGUCA